rnacentral:rRNA from 1 species
AUUGAACGCUGGCGGAAUGCUUUACACAUGCAAGUCGAACGGCAGCACGGGAGCUUGCUCCUGGUGGCGAGUGGCGAACGGGUGAGUAACAUAUCGGAACGUAUCCAAUAAUGGGGGAUAACUAAUCGAAAGGUUGGCUAAUACCGCAUACGCCCUACGGGGAAAGCAGGGAUCUUCGGACCUUGCGUUAAUGGAGCGGCCGAUAUCUGAUUAGCUAGUUGGUGAGGUAAAGGCUCACCAAGGCGACGAUCAGUAGCUGGUCUGAGAGGACGACCAGCCACACUGGAACUGAGACACGGUCCAGACUCCUACGGGAGGCAGCAGUGGGGAAUUUUGGACAAUGGGCGCAAGCCUGAUCCAGCCAUUCCGCGUGAGUGAAGAAGGC